rnacentral:rRNA from 1 species
UGGGGAAUUUUGGACAAUGGGCGCAAGCCUGAUCCAGCCAUGCCGCGUGUGUGAAGAAGGCCUUCGGGUUGUAAAGCACUUUCGGACGGAACGAAAUCGCGCGGAUGAACAAUCCGCGCGGAUGACGGUACCGUAAGAAGAAGCACCGGCUAACUACGUGCCAGCAGCCGCGGUAAUACGUAGGGUGCAAGCGUUAAUCGGAAUUACUGGGCGUAAAGGGUGCGCAGGCGGCCCCGCAUGUCAGGCGUGAAAUCCCCGGGCUUAACUUGGGAAUGGCGCUUGAAACUACGGGGCUGGAGUGUGGCAGAGGGAGGUGGAAUUCCACGUGUAGCGGUGAAGUGCGUAGAGAUGUGGAGGAACACCGAUGGCGAAGGCAGCCUCCUGGGCCAACACUGACGCUCAUGCACGAAAGCGUGGGGAGCAAACAGGAUUAGAUACCCUGGUAGUCCACGCCCUAAACGAUGACGACUAGUUGUUGGGGGAGUUAAAUCCCUUAGUAACGCAG